rfam:Triticum aestivum genome assembly, contig: Triticum_aestivum_CS42_TGACv1_scaffold_623834_7DS
GUAGUACUCCCUCCGUCCGAAAAUACUUGUCAUCAAAAUGAAUAAGACGGGAUGUAUCUAGAUGUAUAUUAGUUCUAGAUACAUCUUUUUUAUCCAUUUUGGUGACAAGUAUUUUCGGACGGAGGGAGUACUUG